rnacentral:rRNA from 1 species
AUUGAACGCUGGCGGCAGGCCUAACACAUGCAAGUCGAGCGAGCGGCGGACGGGUGAGUAAUGUCUGGGAAACUGCCUGAUGGAGGGGGAUAACUACUGGAAACGGUAGCUAAUACCGCAUACCAUCAGAUGUGCCCAGAUGGGAUUAGCUCGUAGGUGGGGUAACGGCUCACCUGGGCGACGGUCCCUAGCUGGUCUGAGAGGAUGACCAGCCAAACUGGGACUGAGACACGGGCCAGGCUCCUAAGGGAGGCAGCAGUGGGGGAUAUUGCAGAAAGGGGGCAAGCCUGAUGCAGCCAUGCCGCGUUGGUGAAGAAGGCCUUCGGGUUGUAAAGCACUUUCAGCGGGGAGGCGUUACCCGAAGAAGAAGCAACGGCUAACUCCGUGCCAGCAGCCGCGGUAAUAC